rnacentral:miRNA from 1 species
AGACAUCCAGUUAAAUUUGAAUUUCAGAUAAACAGUGAGUAACUUUGUAGUCCAAGUAUGCCCCAUGUCAUAUUUGGGACAUACUUACCCUAAAAAAUUAAUAUUUGUUUAUCUGAAAUUCAUAUUUAACUGGCAU